GACGAACGCUGGCGGCGUGCCUAAUACAUGCAAGUUGAGCGCUGAAGGUUGGUACUUGUACCAACUGGAUGAGCAGCGAACGGGUGAGUAACGCGUGGGGAAUCUGCCUUUGAGCGGGGGACAACAUUUGGAAACGAAUGCUAAUACCGCAUAAAAACUUUAAACACAAGUUUUAAGUUUGAAAGAUGCAAUUGCAUCACUCAAAGAUGAUCCCGCGUUGUAUUAGCUAGUUGGUGAGGUAAAGGCUCACCAAGGCGAUGAUACAUAGCCGACCUGAGAGGGUGAUCGGCCACAUUGGGACUGAGACACGGCCCAAACUCCUACGGGAGGCAGCAGUAGGGAAUCUUCGGCAAUGGACGAAAGUCUGACCGAGCAACGCCGCGGGAGUGAAGAAGGUUUUCGGAUCGUAAAACUCUGUUGGUAGAGAAGAACGUUGGUGAGAGUGGAAAGCUCAUCAAGUGACAGUAACUACCCAGAAAGGGACGGCUAACUACGUG
rnacentral:rRNA from 1 species